GACUACUGGGGUAUCUAAUCCCGUUUGCUCCCCUGGCUUUCGUGCCUCAGCGUCAGACAAGGUCCAGUGUGCCGCUUUCGCCACCGGCGUUCCUUCCAAUAUCAACACAUUUCACCGCUCCACUGGAAGUUCCGCACACCCCUACCUCACUCUAGCCUCGCAGUUUAGGACGCAAUUCCCCGGUUGAGCCGAGGGCUUUCACACCCUACUUACGAAACCGCCUACGCACUCUUCAAGCCCAGUGAUUCCGAAUAACGUUUGCACAGUUCGUCUUACCGCGGCUGCUGGCACGAACUUAGCCCGUGCUUCCUCUGAGGCUAUGUCAAACCGGAAAGAUAGCUUUCCAGCACUUCAUCCCCUCUGACAGUGGUUUACAACCCAAGGGCCUUCAUCCCACACGCGGCGUCGCUCGGUCAGGGUUUCCCCCAUUGCCGAAGAUUCUCGACUGCAGCCCCCCGUAGG
rnacentral:rRNA from 1 species